UACGUAGGGGCCUAGCGUUGUCCGGAUUUAUUGGGCGUAAAGAGCUCGUAGGCGGUUUGGUGAGUCGGGUGUGAAAUCUCCACGCUCAACGUGGAGGGGCCACCCGAUACUGCCAUGACUAGAGUCCGGUAGGGGAGUGUGGAAUUCCCGGUGUAGCGGUGAAAUGCGCAGAUAUCAGGAGGAACACCGGUGGCGAAGGCGGGUCUCUGGGCCGAUACUGACGCUGAGGAGCGAAAGCGUGGAGAGCGAACAGG
rnacentral:rRNA from 1 species